rnacentral:rRNA from 1 species
AAAAACUGAGGUGGUAUACGAUGGUUCCGCGUCUGAUUAGCUAGUUGGUGGGGUAAAAGCCUACCAAGGCAACGAUCAGUAGCCGGCCUGAGAGGGUGAACGGCCACAUUGGGACUGAGACACGGCCCAAACUCCUACGGGAGGCAGCAGUGGGGAAUAUUGCACAAUGGGGGAAACCCUGAUGCAGCGACGCCGCGUGAGUGAAGAAGUAUUUCGGUAUGUAAAGCUCUAUCAGCAGGGAAGAAAUACUGACCAUAGGGUCAGCAGACGGUACUUGACUAAGAAGCCCCGGCUAACUACGUGCCAGCAGCCGCGGUAAUACGUAGGGGGCAAGCGUUAUCCGGAUUUACUGGGUGUAAAGGGAGCGUAGACGGCAGCGCAAGUCUGAAGUGAAAUGCCAGGGCUUAACCCUGGAACUGCUUUGGAAACUGUGCAGCUAGAGUGCAGGAGAGGUAAGUGGAAUUUCUAGUGUAGCGGUGAAAUGCGUAGAUAUUAGGAGGAACACCAGUGGCGAAGGCGGCUUACUGGACUGUAACUGACGUUGAGGCUCGAAAGCGUGGGGAGCAAACAGGAUUAGAUACCCUGGUAGUCCACGCUGUAAACGAUGAUUACUAGGUGUUGGGGGACCAAGGUUCUUCG